rnacentral:rRNA from 1 species
UACGGAGGGUGCGAGCGUUGUCCGGAAUCAUUGGGCGUAAAGGGCGCGUAGGUGGCCCGGUCAGUCCGUGGUGAAAGCGCGGGGCUCAACCCCGCGUCGGCCAUGGAUACUGCUGGGCUGGAGCACUGUAGAGGCAGGCGGAAUUCCGGGUGUAGCGGUGGAAUGCGUAGAGAUCCGGAAGAACACCGGUGGCGAAGGCGGCCUGCUGGGCAGUUGCUGGACGAGCUGCGCGCGAGGAGCAGUGGGGAUGCAACAGGA